CAAGACCUUGCGCUUUUGGAGCGGCCGAUGUCUGAUUAGCUAGUUGGUGAGGUAAAGGCUUACCCAAGGCUUCGAUCAGUAGCUGGUCUGAGAGGACGACCAGCCACACUGGGACUGAGACACGGCCCAGACUCCUACGGGAGGCAGCAGUGGGGAAUUUUGGACAAUGGGGGCAACCCUGAUCCAGCCAUGCCGCGUGAGUGAAGAAGGCCUUCGGGUUGUAAAGCUCUUUCAGCCGGAACGAAACGGUCACGGUUAAUAACCGUGAUCACUGACGGUACCGGAAGAAGAAGCACCGGCUAACUACGUGCCAGCAGCCGCGGUAAUACGUAGGGUGCGAGCGUUAAUCGGAAUUACUGGGCGUAAAGCGUGCGCAGGCGGUUUUGUAAGUCAGAUGUGAAAUCCCCGGGCUUAACCUGGGAACU
rnacentral:rRNA from 1 species